rnacentral:tRNA from 1 species
AGCUGUGUGGCUCAUUGGUUAGUGGACUGUGCUAUUAACACAAAGGUUGCGGGUUCAAUUCCCUGUGUAGAGU